GUGCUCGCUUCGGCAGCGCAUAUACUAAAAUUGGAACGAUACAGAGAAGAUUAGCAUGGCCCCUGCGCAAGGAAAAAUGUGGCUCUUAAGUACUGUAUAAUCACUUA